CCUACGGGAGGCAGCAGUGGGGAAUAUUGGACAAUGGGCGCAAGCCUGAUCCAGCCAUGCCGCGUGAGUGAUGAAGGCUUUAGGGUUGUAAAGCUCUUUCGCCGAUGAAGCGGUAGUCGGAGAAGAAGCCCCGGCUAACUUCGUGCCAGCAGCCGCGGUAAUACGAAGGGGGCUAGCGUUGUUCGGAAUUACUGGGCGUAAAGCGAGCGUAGGUUGUGUCGCAAGUCAGUGGUGAAAUCCCGGAGCUUAACUUCGGAACUGCCAUUGAAACUGCGAUGCUAGAAUCUCAGAGGGGGUAGCGGAAUUCCAAAUGUAGGGGUGAAAUCCGUAGAUAUUUGGAGGAACACCGGUGGCGAAGGCGGCUACCUGGUGGUAUUGACACUGAGGCUCGAAAGCGUGGGGAUCAAACAGGAUUAGAUACCCUGGUAGUC
rnacentral:rRNA from 1 species